rnacentral:rRNA from 1 species
GACGAACGCUGGCGGCGUGCUUAACACAUGCAAGUCGAACGAUGAAGCCUAGCUUGCUGGGUGGAUUAGUGGCGAACGGGUGAGUAACACGUGAGUAACCUGCCCUUGACUCUGGGAUAAGCGUUGGAAACGACGUCUAAUACCGGAUACGAGCUUCCACCGCAUGGUGAGUUGCUGGAAAGAUUUUUUGGUCAAGGAUGGACUCGCGGCCUAUCAGCUUGUUGGUGAGGUAAUGGCUCACCAAGGCGACGACGGGUAGCCGGCCUGAGAGGGUGACCGGCCACACUGGGACUGAGACACGGCCCAGACUCCUACGGGAGGCAGCAGUGGGGAAUAUUGCACAAUGGGCGGAAGCCUGAUGCAGCAACGCCGCGUGAGGGAUGACGGCCUUCGGGUUGUAAACCUCUUUUAGCAGGGAAGAAGCGAAAGUGACGGUACCUGCAGAAAAAGCACCGGCUAACUACGUGCCAGCAGCCGCCGUAACAC